UACGAAGGGAGCUAGCGUUGUUCGGAAUCACUGGGCGUAAAGCGCACGUAGGCGGAUGUGUCAGUCAGGGGUGAAAUCCCGGAGCUCAACUUCGGAACUGCCUCUGAUACAGCACGUCUUGAGUCAGGAAGAGGUGGGUGGAAUUCCUAGUGUAGAGGUGAAAUUCGUAGAUAUUAGGAAGAACACCGGUGGCGAAGGCGGCCCACUGGUCCGGUACUGACGCUGAGGUGCGAAAGCGUGGGGAGCAAACAGG
rnacentral:rRNA from 1 species